GGCGCCGGGGGGUCGGGCCGGGCCGGGGCCGGACGGGUAAAUAUGGUAAAAAGGACAUCAAAUAAGAUCCUAUUAACUUCAGUUUUUAAAAUACUUUGGCCAUACCUUGGCUUAAAAUGUAUCUCCACAUUAUCCUUUGGAAAUAGUCUUGCCAGUUCUGCAAGCAGCAUUGUGGUGAAGGGAAUCUACCCUCUAAGGGAAGGCUGUUUUUAAGUGUUUAGGAACUAGUUAUUGUGUUCAUUUAGACACCAUGCUUUUGUACUGAUGAUGCUACCCUACGCUUUACUUAGCUCUUCAGGUGUAAAAUCAACAUUUUGAUCUACGAAACCCCUUCAGUAUCUUGCUUAAUUUCUUCCUUGAAUGACUGUACAUGUUUUAAGAGAAUUAAUGGUGUUUACCAAAAAUAGGUUAAAAUUCAGUUAUUAAUUGAGAUUGAUGGUGUUUGACCACAGCUUUUUCAAAUUACCGAUGUCAAGCGAAUUGUGGGUGUUGUAAAACCUCCAGUCUGCCAGUUUUGCACUAUAUAGUAUGGGCAGAAUUGACUUGUCAUGUUUCAGCUCCUUGGAACUGUUCUCAUCUUUUGGGUUCUGAGCAUGAUUAAUGAUGUCUUGAAAUUACUGCCACACGCUGAGGGA